rnacentral:snoRNA from 1 species
CUGUGAUGAUCGUUCAGCUGGCACCAGUCAUAGGGCGACUUGUACUCCCUUCCCUUGAUGAUAAAUGCUGCGGUCCACCAGACCAUCUCUGAU